UCAACGCUGGCGGCGUGCUUCAGACAUGCAAGUCGAACGCGAAAAGUUUCCUUCGGGAAACGAGUAGAGUGGCGCACGGGUGAGUAACACGUAAGUAAUCUACCUUUGGGUGGGGAAUAACUCAGGGAAACUUGAGCUAAUACCGCAUAAUGCAGCGGCUCCUUAUGGAGACAGUUGUUAAAGAAUUUAUUCGCCUAAAGAGGAGCUUGCGGCAGAUUAGCUAGUUGGUAAGGUAAUGGCUUACCAAGGCUACGAUCUGUAGCCGACCUGAGAGGGUGGUCGGUCACACUGACACUGAAUAACGGGUCAGACUCCUACGGGAGGCAGCAGUCGGGAAUUUUGGGCAAUGGGGGAAACCCUGACCCAGCAACGCCGCGUGAAGGAUGAAGUAUUUCGGUAUGUAAACUUCGUAAGAAUAGGAAGAAUCAAUGACGGUACUAUUUGUAAGCUCCGGGCCUAACUA
rnacentral:rRNA from 1 species